UGGGUGGUUAAACCUUACUAGAAAUGCCUGCGAAGAUGCUCAGAGGCUUGUCUCCUGGAUCCUUUCAGAUCCUUUCAAGUCGGCCAAGAUCAAUCACACAGUACACACUCCCCUGCCUCUUGAGGCUUCAGGAUGCCUCUGCCCCAUCCUCACUGAUCAAGGCCACCAAGGUAGCCUCUCCAGCUCUUUGCCUCUCCUCUAUUUCUUUGGCACAUUCCCUCUGGGACUCUGACCUUUCUAUUUCCUACUACAUGGGAUUUGUGGUUACAUUGUGUCCAGUCAAAGAUUUGCAGCUAUUUUCUCUGAAUUGAAAUAUUAGCGAAACUUAUAAGACACCUGAUCUUCCUUUCCCCACAAGUUAAAUAAGCAGUAAACAAUUGCAGGGGGAGGUGGCCCUUUGGUGGAGCCACCUGUGGGCUACAACAGACACUCCAUUGGUGCACCUGUAUUAGUCACUACCCAUGCCCCUGCAAAUAAUCCCAAUAAAUGUAUUGGAUUUUUCC
rnacentral:lncRNA from 1 species